UACGUAGGGCGCAAGCGUUGUCCGGAAUCAUUGGGCGUAAAGCGCGCGUAGGCGGCCCCGUAAGUCCGCUGUGAAAGUCAACGGCUCAACCCUGAAAUGCCGGUGGAAACUGUCGAGCUAGAGUCCGGAAGAGGCGAGUGGAAUUCCUGGUGUAGCGGUGAAAUGCGCAGAUAUCAGGAGGAACACCAAUGGCGAAGGCAGCUCGCUGGGACGGUACUGACGCUGAGACGCGAAAGCGUGGGGAGCAAACAGG
rnacentral:rRNA from 1 species